CACAAACUAAGAUAUCCUAGGCAAGAAAACUAGCUUCUGUCUUAAAGUGGAACCAGGAAUGUGAAAGUGAAUCCAUCAAAGGAAAAGGGUCUCUCGUAUUGAGAUAGGGAGUGUCAUCGGCAUUCAUCAGGCACCGCAAUUAAACGACAGAUGCAGAAAAACAUACUGGGAGAGUGGAAAGGGGACAAACGAGUAGAACAUCCCGGAAAGGAACCAAAGUCUCAUUAUUACGAACGAAGCAAUCGAGGAAAAUCAUUGUCAACAAUGGAAAUCCGUAAACAAGUUUGACUCUAGUUUCCCAUUAACGAACAUUAGAUCUCUACAACCUUGAAAUAGGGAUUAUGAAUUAACUGACACUCACAUCUGAUCUUUCAAAAACUUCUACCUGGCUGAUCACUGCUGACCCGGAAAACAAGACCGUUCAUGGUUUUUAACGAAGUCAAGCCGGAUAAUGUCCGAUAAUUUCAUUGUUUCCCCUGAAGCUUUGAGAAGACCUGUUUCCUUUCAUUCACGAGCACGGUACGUUUGCUGUAGUACAUACAUUUAUCGUACAAAAAGGAA